rnacentral:lncRNA from 1 species
ACUCAUCAAUAAGAAAAGUUACAAAGGCUUAUAAACCUCACAAUAUGUUAUACACAAAUGCUCUCUUUGAUCCAUAUUAUUUGUCAAGUGAGCGACAAUCAAUACGGAUCUGAGGGAGUAGCAGUUUCCAAUUACUCCCAAGUCAUAAGAUACUUCAACCAAGUUCUAAAAAAAAGAUACUUCAUCCUACAGAGCCAUGACGAGUUUAUCACUAAAGUGAACAUACCUUAUAAAAAAAGAGUUUAUAUCUCAAUAGUACACAGAUUGCAAAAGAGAAGAUUUGUCUCUAACGUAAAUGCCGCUAGCUGCAAAGAGAAAACACAUAUUUGGCUUAGCUGCUUAAAUACUAAUGGAGAUGGCAAACAUGUAAAAUGUGCAAUGUAUUAGACCAUUACAUUUCCACACGAUGAUCUUUUAUUUUAUGGAAACGAUUAAGAAUCACUCCAUUGGUAAUUGUAUCUAGCAAUUCUUUUUCAACAAGGAAAAUUAGGCUGUGACUCAAAUAAUAGUCACCAAUUUUGUUACGCGAAGCAUUUUUCACAAUCUUCAUAGCCGAAAAACAUUUCUCAACAGUGACAGUGGCAACGAGUGGUGGCGUUACCAUCUCUUGAUUUCUUUAUCAAAUACUUCUCCAUUAUCUUCCUUCUUCCAUGCCAAAUCAUUGAAAUACUAACUCUAAAGAGUUUAGAUAAAGGUAUGAUACUAUCAGCAGACUAGCAGGCGAGUACUAGUUCUGUAUUAGUACGCCUGAGAGUAGAAAAUCCAGCCUCAACAGAAUGGCUUCCAAGAUUGAAUUUCAUAGAAAAUUUGAUUAGAACAAAGCAUGCUACUAGCAGGCUAGCACGCUGCACGUCUGCACACAAGUACUAGCACUGUAUUCUCAAAUCCUAGAAAAUGACCUACGGGUAGUGUGUCACAUUUUAAUCCUAUCAAAUUUUAUUUACAUGGCUGAUAAGACUAGCAGUUCUAGACUAGCACGAAUUGCAUCUUUGCAUUUGAUUUGACAGGAAACAUAACCAGAAAUCCAAAAGAGGAAAAAAAAUCAUUUCAUGAAUGGAUCAGCUCAAGAAGAACAAACCUAGUUUCAGAGUUGGCCAGUUGGGGAUGAGGGAUGAGGAUGAUGAGCAGGGGAGCGACCAGCCUCCAGCCACGUAUGUAGCCAG